GAAAUGCGAUAAGUGAUGUGAAUUGCAGAAUUCAGUGAAUCAUCGAAUCUUUGAACGCACAUUGCGCCCCCUGGUAUUGAGGGGGGCAUGCCUGUUCGAGCGUCAUUUCACCACUCAAGCCUCGCUUGGUAUUGGGCGACGCGGUCCGCCGCGCGCCUCAAAUCGACCGGCUGGGUCUUCUGUCCCCUCAGCGUUGUGGAAACUAUUCGCUAAAGGUUGCCACGGGAGGCCACGCCGAAAAACAAACCCAUUUCUAAGGUUGACCUCGGAUCAGGUAGGGAUACCCGCUGAACUUAA
rnacentral:misc_RNA from 1 species